rnacentral:lncRNA from 1 species
AGUCCUCCCACCUCAGUUUCCCAAGAAGCUGAGACUACAGGUUGCAUACCAUCAUUUUCCUUAUCUUUGAGUGGGGACAGUUCUGCAUAGACUGAUAUUUGCCCAGUGUAGUAAAACCACACAAGCAGAAAAAGAGGCUCUUGGCAGCAGGAGAGUAUGGGGGAAAUCACAGAAAAGAGGAAGCUCAAGGAAAAGUUCCUAAAAAGCUGUGUAUAAAGUCCUUGGCUCCACCCCCAGCUGCUCAUGCAUGGAGCUGACCCAAAGCAAUAUACCAAAGGCUCUGAGAACUGGCUGUGGUGUAGACUACCACCAGAAUGACCACCUGGGUGAUGCACAUGUGAGGCAGAUCCAAGUAGCACUGCAAAACCUUUGGAAACUGAAGUGACACUAAAGCCACAGCUUACUAAAGGUAUGUCCAAACUUAUGAUCUGAACCAACCAGGUUAAUUGGCAGCUAAAACAACAAAGUAAACAUUCACCAAAGGACUUUAACAAGACUCAGAGACUUGUAAAAUAUAUGUAACAUUCAGGAAUAAUCUAAAAUUGCUCAACAUAUAAGGAACCAGGAAAAUCUCACCAACUUGCAAGAAACAAGCCAGUCCCAAAAUGAUUCAGAUGUUAAACCUAUCAGACAGUGACUUCAAAGCAGCUAUUACAGCCAAGUUCCAGGUAUAGCUACUCACAGGUCUGAGGUGGAAGGAUCACUUGAGCCCAGGGUGUCAAGGCUGCAGUGAUCCUUGAUCAUGCUACUGCACUCCAGCCUGGGCAACACAGUGAGACCCUGUCUCAAAAAAAUUAAUUAAUUGAUUGAUUAAUUAAAAAAGGAGUUCAGACUUUAAUUUCCAGUUCAGAUGGAGUAAGCAGCACAUAUCACUUUAUCUUUCCCAAAGAUUACAACCAAAAACCCUUGAAAGAAAACACAACUAGGAGUCUGAAAAGUACAUAAUAGCAAUAAGAGAGCAGUAAGAAGAGAGAACACUCUUGAAAUGAAAGAAAAAUUAUCUGCAGAAAAAUAGAAGCUACAAGAAAGUGCCAUGGGGAGUGGGGAAUGGAGAGUUGUUGAAUGGAUAUGGAGUAUCAGUUUUGCAAGGCAAGAAGAGCUCUAGAGACUGCUUGCGCAACAAUGUGAAUGUACUUAACACUACUGAACUGUAUACCAAAAAUGGUUAAGAUGGUAAAUUUUAUGUUACAUGUAUUUUACCAGAAUAAAACUAAAUUGGUAUGUACUUACCUAGAAAGAUGUUCAUAAUAUAGUUCUAAGUAAAACUAAAUUAUGUUUCACAGUGAAGGAAGGGAAAGAAGGCAGGAAGGAAGGACAAAGCGGUUAUGUACAAACUGAAAACUACAUAAUUGAAAUUAAAACCUUUGCUGGAUGGACUCAUUUGCCGAAUGGAAAUGAUAAAAUAGUGAUCUUAAAAGGUCAAGAUCAAGAUAUAUUAUCCCAUUUGAAACAGAGAGGAAAAAAGAUUGAAAAAAAUAACAGACUUGCAUACCUGUGGGACAAUAUCAGAAAGAUUAACAUUUAUGUCUUUGGUGUCCCAGAUCAGGAGGAAGAUACUGCUGCAGAUGAAUAUUGAAAAAAAUAAAGGAUAGAAACUUUAAAAUUUGGCAAAAGACAUGAAUGUAAAGAUUCAGGAAGUUCAGGAAACCCCCCAAACAAGAUACACUAAAAUCAACAACAACAACAAAAAAACUACAUUGAGAUGCAUCCAAAUUUACUUGCUGAAAAUUAAAGAUUUUUAAUUGCUGAAAAAUUUUAAAAUGUGGGCAGGUGUGAUGACUCAUGCCUGUAAUUCCAGUACUUUGGGAGGCCAAGGCGGGCAAAUUGCUUGAGCCCAGGAGUUCAAGACCAGCCUAUGGCAAAGCCCCCAUCUCUAAAAAAAAAAAAAAAUACAAAAAUUAGCCAGGCAUGGUGGUGCACACCUGUAGUCCUAGCUACCUAGGAGGCUGAGGUGGGAGAAUUGCUUGAGCCUGGGAGGUGGAGGUUGCAGUGAGCCGAGAUUGUGCCACUGCACUACAGCCUGGGCGACAGAGUGAGACACUGCCUUAAAAAAAAAAAUUGAAAAAGAAAAAUGACACAUUACAUAUAUAAAGGCGAAAUGACUAAAAUGACUGGAUUUCUCAUCAGAAAUCAUGGCGGUCAGAAAGCAGUAGAACAUUUUUUUGAUGCUGAAAGUAAAGAAGUGUCAACCCAAAAUUCUAUAUUCUGUAAAAUUUUCCUCAGGAAUGCAGGCAAAAUAAUUCCUUCCCAGAAGAAGGGAAAAUAAUGCAGCUGCACUAAAAGAAAUGCUAAAGGGAAUUCUUCAGGUGGAAAGGAAGUAAUACCAGAAGGAAACUCAAAACUUCAGGAAUGAAAGAAGAGCAACAGAAACAGUAAAUAUAUGGAUAAAUAUACUUUUUACUCUUCAUAAUUUCUUUAAAAUAUGUAUAAUGGGUGCAAGCAAACACUGUAACAUUGAUGGUGGGAUUUUUGGUGUAUGUAGAUAAUAAUACACAUGACAACUGCAACAUAAAGGGUGGAAUGUAAAAGGACCUGUAUUGUUGAAAGUUCCCCACAUUUUAUUUGAAAUGAUAAAAUAUUCUUAGCUGGUUUUAAAAGUUAAAUACAUAUAUUGGAAUCCUUAAUCAUUAAGAAUAUUAUUAAAAGUAUAUAGUUAUUUUUGGCCAGGCGCAGUGGCUCACACCUGUAAUCCUAGCACUUUGGGAGGCCAAGGCAGGUGGAUCAUGAGUCAAGAGAUCGAGACCAUCCUGGCCAACAUGGUGAAACCCCAUCUCUACUAAAAAUACAAAAAUUAGCUGGAGGUGGUGGUGCGUGCCUGUAGUCCCAGCUACUCAGGAGGCUGAGGCAAGAAAACUGCUUGAACCCAGGAGGCAGAGGUUGCAAUGAGCCAAGAUCAUGCCUUUGCACUCCAGCCUGGUGACGGAGCGAGACUGUCUCAAAUACAAAAACAAAACAAAAAAUAUAUACAGUUAUUUUUAAAGCCAAGAGAUAGAAAACCAAAAGAUAUUCAAAUAAUUCAAAAGAAUCCAGGAAAGAGCCAGGCACGGUUGUUCAUGUCUGUAAUCCCAACAGUUUGAGAGGCCAAGGCAGGCAGAUUCUUUGAGCCCAGGACUUAGCAGCCUGGGCAACAUGGAAAGACCCCAUCUCUCCAAAACAAAAUAUUAAAAAAUUAGCCAGACAUGGUGAUGUGUGCAUGUAGUCCCAGCCACCCAGGAGGCUGAGGCAGGAGGAUUGCUUGAGCCUGGGAAUCAGAGGUUGCAGUGAACAGAGAUCAUACCACUGCACUCCAGCAUGAGCAACAGAGCAAUUCCCUCUCUCAAAAAAAAAAAAAAAAUUCAGAAAAGGAGAAAAAGGAAUGAAGAAAAAAAGGAGAAAAACAGAAAACAAAUAAUAGAAUGAUAGAUCCAACUAUAUUAACAGUUACAUUAAAGGUAAAUGUUCUAGAAACACCAUUUAAAAGCCAGUUUGUCAUUUUGGUUAAGAAUACAAGACCCAACUAUAUGCUAUAUAUUAGAAGUCCACUUUAAAUGACGUAAGUAUGUAAAAAGUAAAAGGAUGGAGAAAGAUAUACCAUGUAAAGAUUGGCUGAGCACAGUGGCUCAUGCCUGUAAUCCCAGCACUUUGAGAGGCUGAGGCGGGCAGAUCACCUGAGGUCAGGAGUUCGAGACUGGCCUGGCCAACAUGGUGAAACCCUGUCUCUACUAAAAAAAAAAAAAAAGCCAGGUGUGGUGGAGGGUGCCUCCAUGAGAGGCUGAGGCAGGAAAAUUGCUUGAACCCAGGAGGCUCACUAGCCAAGAUCCUGCAACUGCACUCCAGCCUGGGUCACAGAGUGAGACUCCAUCUCAAAAAAGAAAAGAUACACCAUGUAAUGACUAAUCAAAAGGAAGCUGGAAUGGGUAUAUUAAUCAGAUAAAAUAGACUUCAGAACAAGGAAAAUUAACAAGUUUGUAGAGGUAAAUUGCAUACUAAUAAAGUGGUCACUCAAGACAUAAUAAUUCUGUAUGUAUGCAGCUAACAACAGAGUGUCAAAAUACUGUACAUAAAACAAAAACUAAUAAAAUAGGAGAAAUAGAUAAUUCUGCAAUUAUAGAUGGGAAUUUCAGUUUUCCUCUCAGUAAUCAAUAAAGCAAGUAGACAGAAAAUCAGCAAGAAUGUAGAAGGCUGGAAAACCAUUAGCCAAAAAAGAAAAUUCCAGGCUCAGAUUUAAGGAAUAAAUAAGACCAAUUCUAUACAAUCUCUUACAGAAAAUAGAGGAGAAAGAAAUAAUUUGCAACUCAUUUUAAGAGCCAGCAUUACCCUAACAUUACUAGAGAAAGAUAUUUCAAAAAUAAGAUCAAUAUCUUGAACACAGACGCAAAAAUCCCCAACAAGAUAUUGACAAAUUGAAUACAGCAAUAUAUAAAUAAAAUUUUCUUUCAGGAAUGCAAGGUUGUUCCCACAUUUGAAAAUCAAUGUAGUCCACCAUAUUAACAGAUUGAAGCAUAGAAACAUGAUUUUAUGAAUAGAUGCAGAAAACCCAUUUGACACAAUUCAACAUCCAUUCUUUUUAUUUAUUUUUUUAAGACAGGGUCUCACUGUAGCUCAGUCUGGAGUGCAGUGGUGGCAAUCACGGCUCACUGCAGCCUGGACCUCCUGGGCUCAAGCAGCCCUGCCUCAGCCUCCUAAGUAGCUAGGACUACAAGUGCCCACCACCAUGUUUGGCCAAUUUUAUAACUGUUUAUAGAGACAGGGUCUCACUGUGUUGCCCAGGUUGAUCUUGAACUCCUGGGCUCAAGCAAUCCUCCCGCUUCAGCCUCCCAAAGUUCUGGGAUCACAGGCAUGAGCCAUUGUGCCCAACCUCUACAUUCUUUAUUGAUAAAACUCAAUGGAAUAUGAAUACAAGAGAACUUCCUUAAUUUAAUAAAUUGAACUAUAAAAAAAACUUGGCAGCUAACAUAAUUCUUUUUUUUCUUUUUUGAGAUGGAGUUUCACUCUUACUGCCCAGGCUGGAAUGCAAUGGUGCGAUCUCAGCUCACCGCAACCUCCGCCUUCCGGCUUCAAGCGAUUUUCCUGCCUCAGCCUCCUGAGUAGCUGGGAUUACAGACAUGCGCCACCAUGCCUGGUUAAUUUUGUAUUUUUAGUAGAGACAGGGUUUCUCCAUGUUGGUCAGGCUAGUCUUGAACUCCUGACCUCAGGUGAUCUGCCCACCUUGGCCUCCCAAAGUGCUGGGAUUACAGGCAUGAGCCACCGCGCCUAGCCGCUAACAUCAUUCUUAAUGGUGAAGGGCUGAUUAAUUUGCCUAAGAUUGGGAAAAAGGCAAAAAUGUUCUUAGCAUUUCUGUUUAACAUCGUGCUAAAAGUCCUGGCCACUGUGAUGAGGCAAGAAACAGAAGUAAGAGGCAUACAGAUUGGAGAAAAUAAAACAGAACUUUCUCUAUUCA